rnacentral:rRNA from 1 species
GACGUAGGGGGCGAGCGUUGUCCGGAUUUAUUGGGCGUAAAGAGCUCGUAGGCGGUGUGUCACGUCGGCCGUGAAAACCUGCAGCUUAACUGUGGGCGUGCGGUCGAUACGGGCAUCACUGGAGUUCGGCAGGGGAGACUGGAAUUCCUGGUGUAGCGGUGAAAUGCGCAGAUAUCAGGAGGAACACCGGUGGCGAAGGCGGGUCUCUGGGCCGAUACUGACGCUGAGGAGCGAAAGCGUGGGGAGCAAACAGG